UGCAGGGACACUGGCUGUUUGGAGGAUCCCCUUCCUCUGUGCAGGGAUGAGGCCUGAUGCUCGGAGGAUCUCCUCCCUCUCAGCAGGGACACUAGCCCUUGGGACAAUCCCCUCCCUGUGCACAGGGACGCUGGCCAUUGGGACGAUUUCCUCCCUCUGCGCAGUGACACUGGCUGUUUGGAGGAUCCCCUCCCUCCGUGCAGGGAUGAGGCCUGAUGAUCGUAGGAUCUCCUCCCUCUGUGCAUUGAUGCUGGUGGCUGAGAGAAUCCCCUCCCUCUGUGAAGGGACACUGGCUGUUUGUAGGAUACCCUUCCUCUGUGACGGGAUGAGGCCUGAUGCUCGGACGAUCUCCUCCCUCUGCACAGCAACUUCGGCUGGUGUGAUGAUCUGAAGCACCAUGAGCUGUCCAUUUCCGAUUGAUUGUGCCGUGGCUGCUGCUUCAAGUUUCAGCACCACAAUGUAGAUGAACCUCCUUCUUAUUAGCUCUUCCACUCCCAAAGACCCAGCUGAGCCAGCCUCCACUGUUAUUGUGAACAGCAGGGGUCUCGGGCUCAGCCACCGGCCGGGUGCCAGUCUGGAACUGAGGGACACUGGCUGUGAGGAGAAUCUCCUCCCUCUCUGCAGGGACACCAGCCUUUGGGACGAUCCACUCCCUGUGCGCAGGGACGCUGG